rnacentral:lncRNA from 1 species
GUGUUAGUCUGCCUUGCAUUUCUUAAAAUCCCAGGGAUGGUCAGUUUAAAAAGAGAACAGUUUUACUUUGGCUCACGGUGGCUUGGCUCGUUGCGUCGCCUAGGACUGUGGUGAGGUAGGUAUCCCGGUGAUAGCAGGUGACCCAGGAAGCACCGGUGCAUAACGGAGGGGGAAGGGGAAGGGCAGGGCCCCACAGCCCCGCAAGCGCAAGCGCAUCUUCCGAGUCCUAACCGCCUCUCACAGUGCCGCAGGCCUGGGCCUGGGGACCCUCAGCUCCACAUGGCAGCGCUGCGAGAGGAGCUCAGACAGCACAGCUUCUGGAGGCAGGUCCUGCCCGCCUCGCUGAGGUACGGAGGUCCCUGAGGAGGGCAGAGUCCAGGCUCACCAGGAGGGGAGGCCAUGCCCGUGUCACAGGGCGUCGGUCUCCUCCAAGAGGGAACCACGGCCAGGGGGGCUGGACGCAGAUGCCUUGAAGGAUCACCCAGUGUCUCUGCUACUUGGUGGCCCUGUGACCUUGGUACAAUGACCUACUUACCUGCUCCCAGGCAAUGCUAACCCUGUCUAAAGUGAUGCCCAGGAUUCAGGCAGCCAUGACAAGGUCCCCAGGAGCCCAGGUGACGGCCCUCCCAGCUCCCCGAAGUAAGAGGAACAGUCACGUGACUUGACUUGGCCCGCACAAUGUGAGCAGAAGGGGCAGAGGCCAUUUCUGGGUACUUGUAUCGAAGAAAUGGAGCCCCUUUCUCCAAGGCCCCUCCUGAUGUCAGAAGAUUUUAGUUGAAGUCUUGGUUCUGUGACUUAUGAAUUGUGUGAUUUUAAGGUUCAGAGGGGCCAUUGGCUUACUCAGUUUUCAACUUCCGAGAAAGUAAAAAAAUAAAUAAAUCCACA